rnacentral:rRNA from 1 species
AGUGAACGCUGGCGGUAGGCCUAACACAUGCAAGUCGAACGGCAGCACAGUAAGAGCUUGCUCUUACGGGUGGCGAGUGGCGGACGGGUGAGGAAUACAUCGGAAUCUACUUUUUCGUGGGGGAUAACGUAGGGAAACUUACGCUAAUACCGCAUACGACCUACGGGUGAAAGCAGGGGAUCUUCGGACCUUGCGCGAUUGAAUGAGCCGAUGUCGGAUUAGCUAGUUGGCGGGGUAAAGGCCCACCAAGGCGACGAUCCGUAGCUGGUCUGAGAGGAUGAUCAGCCACACUGGAACUGAGACACGGUCCAGACUCCUACGGGAGGCAGCGGUGGGGAAUAUUGGACAAUGGGCGCAAGCCUGAUCCAGCCAUACUGCGUGGGUGAAGAAGGCCUUCGGGUUGUAAAGCCCUUUUGUUGGGAAAGAAAAGCAGCAGGUUAAUACCCCGCUGUUCUGACGGUACCCAAAGAAUAAGCACCGGCUAACUUCGUG